GACCGCGUAGCUCAGUUGGCAGAGCAUUGGGCUAGUAUUCCAAAGGUCGUAGGUUCGAUUCCCACCGUGGCCG